rnacentral:lncRNA from 10 species
AGAGCCUCUUGGAUCCCCACAGGGUAAUGGGUGUCCCGAUCUCGCGGGGGACUCUGUGAUCCGUGUUCCCCUGACCCUCCUAGUGCACAACUUGGCCGGGCUCACUGGGCUCCUGCACCACUGCCUGUCAGGUGACCUGGGGCAAGACGCCCACUCCUCCUGACCAGCUUUUCUUCCUCUGCACAAUGGGGAUAAGAACACCCACCUCCUGGGGUGUCUUCAAAGGCAAAGGAGUAAAUGGCCACUAGAGGUGCCAAAGAAACGCAGACAUACAGGUGUCCCAGAGUCUCAGAGCAGUUUGCAGCUUUAACAACCUCAGAAGUACAAAUGCCGCACACUUGAAAGAAACGUCAGUCGAAGGUGCAACUGUUUUCAUUUCUUUUAUCCUGUUUGCCUUUGUGAAAUUUGAAACAUCAAUUUUUAAUGUUAACUUCUUUCCAUCAACAUCUGCCAUCUUCAAUUAAAGGGACUUAAAAAGAUAACAUUAAAAAUUGAUUCUUCCAACUCCGUAAAACUAAAAAGCACAAAAGGAAUUGAAAUGAAACUUUUGAACUCUCUUUUGUAAGU